GCUUCUCAGCCCCAACAAAUCGGAAUCGUCAUCCCCUGCCCCGACUGCGCCCCGUCUCCCUUCCCACCGCCGUGCUCCCCUCUCCCCAUGGACGUCCUUCCCGCCUUCGCUGCCGCCGAUGCCCCACGCGACGGACCCCUCUUUCCCUCUUCUCCUCGACGGCCACGCCGCGUCGCUGGCCGAGCCCCGCUACGGUUGCUGUGAGCCGCCGCCCGCCCCAUAGCCCCAUGCCCGAAGCUGCAGCCGAGAUGCAUCUGAGCGAGAACAAGGGGAUCGAGGAAGUCUGGUUCGCGAUGACGAGAUGCAUCUGAGCGAGAACGUGGGGAUCGAGGAAGUGUGGUUUAUGAUGACUAGCGGGCAGGGCUUCGCCGGCGUUGCCAUAUGUCUGGAGCUGAUCCGCCGUGAUGCGCUGGAGGUCUGCUCCCUCGAUCUGCUUGAUUCAUCCUCCUGGUCACGUCGGCGUCAACUUCUUCAAGGCAAUGAUUCGAAGUAGAUGGGCCUGGCUUCUGUUCAUCAUGCAAUUAUGUGCUAUCUUCGUUCUUGCUGCUGAGGGUAACUCCAUGCAUGCGCAAGCUAUAUGUACUCUUAAGCUGUUAGUCUUCUCUAACUUAUUGCAUAUUCCUGUAUGAUACCACUUUUUCCCUAGCAAGGAUAUGUGAGCCUAUUAACCUUAUGUCGUCUGUCAUUGAUUGAUAACCCAACAAAGAAGUAUGGCAGAAAUUUGCAUCUUAACCUUUCGUCUGCAGGUUCGACAUAUAAAUGUCGUACAUAUGCUUCUUUGACCUGAGUGUGUAAAGUUGGGGUAGGCCACAAGGUCUGCAAGCACAAGCAAUACCAUGAAGGAGCAACUUAUCUACUACACCUAUACAAUAACCAGUGGGGCAUAUCCAAACAUCUACCCAAUCUGCUCUUUCUACAGCCAUGGAUAGGGCAAGAAAAAUAAUUUAGAAACUGGAUUCUGUGUAUGGUUAUUCUCAUGUCCAUCAUAUGAGCACUGUGUGUGUACUUCUUCUCAUGUUGAAAUGAUGUGUUAUACUGGGCCUUUGCAUUUUCUUCAGGAUUUUUGCAUGUGUAUUUUCACAUAAUUUGUAACAAACCAAUUCAUAUUUUCGUCGCAGAUGAAUAACCAACCAAGCGCAGAUCCUUUUCAGUGUGAGCAUGCCCCGGUUUACUGGGCCUUUGCAUUUUCAAACAUUCUGAUUGGUCAUACUAUAUGUAAUCCUUUUUUUUUUUGCUUCAAGGGAGUUAAUUUGUUUAUCAUCAUGACCAACUGAAACUGAUUAAACCGGUAGGUCUUGUCCUCAAUUGGGGCGUGUGAUCUAUGAAAGCUUGGGAUUUACCGUUCUAAUGUGCCGCCUUUGGUUUUGGUUCAGGAAGAAGAAGGUGGUGCACAAGAUGGCGACGUGUGUAACUGGCUUGAGGAUUUUCUGAAGAACUUGAAUUAGGACGUUCACUACACAUUUGGAAUAGAUUGUCAAGAAAAUUUAUCUAGAGUCUGAACAAAUUCAUUUAGAUUCGGUUUAAUUAUAGGGAUUGUUCAUUUUCUGCAUUGAUUUUGUCAUGUUAUAAAAUUGGCAUACCAUAUAAUGCAUAUGUUUUCACACUAAAGGUGCCACCUGUUGUCACAAUGCUGCAAAGAUAUGGUGCAUGGAUGCAUAGUUUAACUCCCAUGAGUACUUGUAGGAAAACAAUUGUACAAUGCAUAAAGAUGUUAUUUGUAUCUGCAAAGAGCGAUCAUAUCUUUUGAUUGAUUCCAUAAGAGUGAGGUCACUCCUUGACUCAGUCGAACUUCAAUCAUUGCUCUUUUUUAAUAACGAUUGGAGAUGUGGUGUAGGAGGAUCAACAGCUAAUGGCAAACGCGCCAACAUGCCCCAAGCACGGUGACCCUUGCAGCAUGCAGAAGACCAUCGGGACAAAUGGGAGGUACACAAAUAGCCAAGAAUGCAAAGAGACGUGCAGGUCUGCGAUUAAAUGAAAGGCCUACUUUGAAGGUGUGUGAAUCCAUUAUUUCCUUUUAGUUUGUUGUGGAGGUGAGUUGGGAACCUUUUUUAAACUUGGUGGAUGUGUUGUUGUAGUGACGGAGAUUUGCAUAAACCGUUGUUUGGCUUGCACUUUAUUUUCAUGCGGUAGCUCGCUACUAUAUAUCCAUACAAAAGAGGUUUAGUGUUACAUUAUGUAAGUAGCAGAUUUCGUUCUUGCCCUAUAUUCUUUCUUUGUGAACCUUGCUAAGUACCUAUUCCUGAUAAUAUAUUAAGACAGCGUGGAAAAUCCAGUGGUCAUGUUUGCGUUGUGAGCUUUUUGAAAUCUUUUAAUUGAAUUACUGAGAUUCUGUACUUCUAAUGUUCUUCAGUCUUUAACUAAUCAAUUGCUGAGAUCUCGAUGUUGAAAAUUGUUUCUUUGCUCUUUAAGGUUGGUUUCAGAUGGAGAGCUAGGCCCAUUUUGGAUACCAAUGUUGAUUUUUAUAUUUUUCAAUGGUUCAUUGCAUCAUAUUGUAUGUUCCUAUAGAAUUUGAUAUGCAAGCUUUUGAUGCUAAUGACUACAUCCUUAGAUUGUGAAGGGAAGCAAGAGCAGCGGCUAGCAAUAGCAGUUCUUGAAUCUGAAACGAGUGAGCUCUUCUUCAACCAAGAUAAUUAGGUGGACUGCAAUAUUUUCUAAAUUGUGUAAUGUUUCCAAUAGGUAAGCCAAAGAGCAGGGGAUAUGUGAACUUCCAAACAUGGGUGAAGGGGGAAGAUCAUAACAAUAGUGGCAUUGGCUCUAUUGGUUGGAUGUUGCAGAUUUAUUAGUUGUCAACGAUCGCCCACACAUAACGAUCAGACUUGAUUCUGAGAGCAAGUGUGCCUGUGCGCUGUUGGUCCACCUCUAGCAGUUUUUGCUUGUUUCAGCUUUUAUUCUUCAUAGUCCCUCAAGGCAACAAUCAUCAAAAUCUGACAAUGGCCGCUUCUCACUUUUGUGAACGACACUUGCCAUACUUCUGUGAACGAUGCUUGAUUUUUUUUUCAUCGGAGUAAUAGUUAUUUACUAUUGUUGAUACAUAAAUGGUUCUUUACUGAACGGUAAUUGUAUGUGAGUAUGGAGAAUGG
rnacentral:rRNA from 1 species